CGCCUCCUGCUAACCAUAGGAGGCCCAGCCUGCCCAGUGACAAAGUUUAACGGCCUCGGUACCCUAACCGCGCGAAGGUAGCAUAAUCACUUGUUCUUUAAAUAAGGACUCGUAUCAACGGCAUCACGAGGGCUAGACUGUCUCCCCUUUCUAAUCAGUGAAUCUGACUUCUUCGUGAAGAGGCGAAGAUAUCUAUAUAAGACGAGAAGACCCCAUGGAGCUUAAAACCAAACAAC
rnacentral:rRNA from 1 species